rnacentral:rRNA from 1 species
UGGGGAAUUUUGCACAAUGGGCGCAAGCCUGAUGCAGCGACGCCGCGUGAGGGAUGACGGCUUUCGGGUUGUAAACCUCUUUUAACUGUGACGAAGGCAUCGUAUUCGCGGUGUUGACGGUAGCUGUUGAAUAAGCGCCGGCUAACUACGUGCCAGCAGCCGCGGUAAGACGUAGGGCGCGAGCGUUGUCCGGAUUUAUUGGGCGUAAAGGGCUCGUAGGCGGCUCGUCGCGUCUGUCGUGAAAGGCCUCGGCUUAACCGGGGUUUUGCGGUGGAUACGGGCGGGCUUGAGGCUAGUAGGGGAGAUCGGAAUUCUACGUGUAGCGGUGAAAUGCGCAGAUAUGUGGAGGAACACCGGUGGCGAAGGCGGAUCUCUGGGCUGGUUCUGACGCUGAGGAGCGAAAGCAUGGGGAGCGAACAGG